GGAAGUGUGGUACAGUGGUAGAAUNCUUGUCUUGCAGGCAGGAGCCCUGGGUUCAAAGCCCAGCGCUGCAG
rnacentral:tRNA from 1 species